UGAGGUGCUUUAUAAUAAGGCAGAAUAUCUACCCAAGGCUUAGCCCGGUGCCUAACACACAGUAGGCGCUUAAUAAAUGCUAGGUAAGGACACUGAGGCAUCCGGAAGCUCAAUGAUUUUUCCCAGGUCCCACAGCUGGUGAGUGAGUUCAGGUGACUCGGCGGUAUCUCCCGGCUGCCUGGAGGCUACUGCUGACCGACUUCCAGCCCCACGGGCUUUUUCUGCGAAGCCCAUUGAUGGGGGAACGGCUGAACGAAUUGCCCACCGAUGGAAUAGAAUAGGACUGUGCCAACUAUGAGAAACAGAUGGGAAAAACUAGAGAAGCAGAGAAAGACUUACAGAAACUGAUGCAAAAUGAAGUUGCGGAGCCGAGAAACCAUUUAGGACGACUAGAGGGUGUUAGCCCAAAGGACAACAGCGUCUGAAUCACAAAAACAGCGCCAGAAGCGCCCUGGCCUCCGUCCCACCCCUUUGCAGAGCUGGGGCCCAGGAGGCCAGAUCAUUGCCUGGCAGUUUUAAGUGUAUUGAUCAGUUUUGCCGGGUUGUUUCUUUUCUGCUUUUUCUUAUUAAAACAGUUCUGGGGGUGGCCAAGGGGGAGGGCGGGACAAAAAAACCCGGCUAAUUUACCUAGAGAGACUGCCCGAGGCAGGUGAAUAAGCAGUAAGUCCAGAAAGGUGAAAGGAAAAGGAAUUUAAAGUCUAGGAAGGUGAAAGGAAAAGGAUUUCUAGAGAUGGCAGCCAAAAACCUGUUUUUAAAGGCUGGAGACAAUGAUGCUGACAGAUCAUGUCAGAAAGGAGGACCCAUGGAGAGGAAUAAAAGUGGAGAGAGACUUGAGGGAGAGGGGAGACCCAAAGCAGGGUAAUGCAAUAGUCUAAGCCAAUUAAUCGACCAAUAAACACUUAUUAAGCACCUAUUUGGUAAUGAGAUACACAAGAGACAAAA